AGGACAACACAUUUCUUUGGUGACAAUGGAGACUGCUGCGUUCUACAUGGCACGGACUGUCGACAGACCAAAACGUCUUGUAUCCAAAACAGCGCAGCCCUUGCAACACGCUGCCAAAAAACGGGGGUCUGCUAAGCCAGCUAGCACGCCUGCAAAAUCCAAAGUGCGCCUUGUAAGGAAGAAAUCGGCUGUGACAGUGGCAACAGCCGGCGGCAGAACAGGCUGCUCUGGGCUUUACAAGGAAGA